NNUUAGAUAGCUUAAAUUUAGAGCAUAAUAUUGAAGAUAUUAGGGUAAAAUAAAAUAUAUUUUUAAGUA
rnacentral:tRNA from 1 species